rnacentral:rRNA from 1 species
CCUACGGGGGGCUGCAGUGGGGAAUAUUGCACAAUGGGGGGAAACCCUGAUGCAGCGACGCCGCGUGAGUGAAGAAGUAUUUCGGUAUGUAAAGCUCUAUCAGCAGGGAAGAAAAUGACGGUACCUGAUUAAGAAGCCCCGGCUUACUACGUGCCAGCAGCCGCGGUAAUACGUAGGGGGCAAGCGUUAUCCGGAUUUACUGGGUGGAAAGGGAGCGUAGACGGCAGCACAAGGCUGGAGUGAAAUGCCGGGGCUUAACCCCGGAACUGCUUUGGAAACUGUGCAGCUAGAGUGCAGGAGAGGUAAGUGGAACUCCUGGUGUAGCGGUGAAAUGCGUAGAUAGUAGGAGGAACACCAGUGGCGAAGGCGGCUUACUGGACUGUAACUGACGUUGAGGCUCGAAAGCGUGGGGAGCAAACAGGAUUAGAUACCCGAGUAGUC